UCCGGUGUGGUCUAGUGGCUAGGAUACCUGGCUUUCACCCAGUAGCCCGGGUUCGAUUCCCGGUACCGGAA
rnacentral:tRNA from 1 species